rnacentral:rRNA from 1 species
UGGGGGAUAUUGCACAAUGGGGGGAACCCUGAUGCAGCGACGCCGCGUGGGUGAAGAAGUAUUUCGGUAUGUAAAGCCCUAUCAGCAGGAAAGAAAGGGAGAGAUCCCAUGACGGUACCUGAGGAAGAAGCCCCGGCUAACUACGUGCCAGCAGCCGCGGUAAUACGUAGGGGGCAAGCGUUAUCCGGAUUUACUGGGUGUAAAGGGAGCGUAGGCGGUCAAGCAAGUCAGAAGUGAAAACCCGCAGCUCAACUGCGGGAGUGCUUUUGAAACUGUGAGGCUAGAGUGUCGGAGGGGCAGGCGGAAUUCCUAGUGUAGCGGUGAAAUGCGUAGAUAUUAGGAGGAACACCAGUGGCGAAGGCGGCCUGCUGGACGAUGACUGACGCUGAGGCUCGAAAGCGUGGGGAGCAAACAGG